AAGUAAACUAUAAUUUGUAAUUUUUUAGAUAAGAGUUACUAAUUUAGUGUUUGUAAUACCAAGAUAAACAAAAAUGCACCUACAAACUAUUUAAAAUUCUUUAGGAUAGCCAAGUUAAGGUGGUAUUGAACUGUUGUUAGAGUAAUUUACUGCCUGGCCUAUAAGUAAAUUCUAGUGUCUAAUCAGACCAUUUUGAAAUGGUGCUUUUUUUUCUUUUCCACAUACUAUUGGAUAGCUGGGAUUUAAAACAAACUUCAACCACUUUCUUGCACUGCUAACUUUUUUCUACUUUUGUAAAUAAAUAUUUCAGCAUAAAAGUUAAAACAUGAAGUAAGGGCUGAAUCGUAAUCACAAGGCUUUAAUUGUGAUAACUAAUUCCGUGGCCUAAGUGCUUGCUGCAAAGGGUGAUGAGCAGGUCAGGUUGGGUGGUGUUCCUGUUUGCCCCUUCCUCUCACUCCUCAGGAGAAAGGUAAGUUGACUUGAAUAACCUUCGUUUGCACUGAGAAAAGUGAAAAAUGUUUGAAAUGCUUUAAUUUUUUUUAAUAAAAAACACUCUGGAAAUAUUAAAUAUCUAUAACUUAUAAACAGCAACUUUUGAUGUGUAGUAAGUGUGCCCUAAUCUUCUGUGCGCUUAGCUGGGUCAUAGAGGUUCUUAUCCUUUGUUAAGAUGUGUGUGCUCAGUGGGCCAAUAUCAUACUAAAGUAUGUAAUAUGACAUAAACAUAUCUAUAUCUCCAUGCUUGAGUGUAUAGAAUGAAUGUCUUAAGAGCCAUUUGUGAUGUUUUAUGGUGUUGACCCUGGCUCCAAAGCCUGCGCUUGAAACAAAGACAGAGUUUUAACCAUCUUCCUUUUAUGUACUUGUUCAGCUUUAUCUGUGCUCUCUUCAUAGAUGUUCUCUCAUGUUUCAAACUUAUAAAUUACUGUUGUAAUUAUGAAGAUAAUAAACUUUAAUAAGUAAAAAUGUG
rnacentral:lncRNA from 1 species